GGCGUAACAGAUCUUUCGGAUGCUGACGAGCGGCGGACGGGUGAGUAAAGUCUAGGGAUCUGCCCAAUAGAGGGGGACAACGCGGGGAAACUCGCGCUAAUACCGCAUACGCCCUAAGGGGGAAAGAUGCUUAAGUGUAUCGCUAUUGGAUGAACCUAGAUCGGAUUAGCUAGUUGGUGGGGUAAAGGCCUACCAAGGCGACGAUCCGUAGCUGGUCUGAGAGGAUGAUCAGCCACACUGGGACUGAGACACGGCCCAGACUCCUACGGGAGGCAGCAGUGGGGAAUAUUGGACAAUGGGGGCAACCCUGAUCCAGCCAUGCCGCGUGUGUGAAGAAGGUCUUCGGAUUGUAAAGCACUUUAAGUUGGGAAGAAGGGCAGAAGUAACGACUCUGUUUUGACAUAACCGACAGAAUAAGCACCGGCUAACUUCGUG
rnacentral:rRNA from 1 species